rnacentral:rRNA from 1 species
CGGUUGAUCCUGCCGGACCCGACUGCUAUCAGAGUGGGACUAAGCCAUGCGAGUCAACGCCGUAAGGCGUGGCAUACGGCUCAGUAACACGUAGUCAACAUGCCCAAAGGACGUGGAUAACCUCGGGAAACUGAGGAUAAACCGCGAUAGGCCAAGGUUUCUGGAAUGAGCCAUGGCCGAAAUCUAUACGGCCUUUGGAUUGGACUGCGGCCGAUCAGGCUGUUGGUGAGGUAAUGGCCCACCAAACCUGUAACCGGUACGGGCUUUGAGAGAAGGAGCCCGGAGAUGGGCACUGAGACAAGGGCCCAGGCCCUAUGGGGCGCAGCAGGCGCGAAACCUCUGCAAUAGGCGAAAGCUUGACAGGGUUACUCUGAGUGAUGCCCGCUAAGGGUAUCUUUUGGCACCUCUAAAAAUGGUGCAGAAUAAGGGGUGGGCAAGUCUGGUGUCAGCCGCCGCGGUAAUACCAGCACCCCGAGUUGUCGGGACGAAUUAUUGGACCUAAAGCAUCCGUAGCCUGUUCUGCAAGUCCUCCGUUAAAUCCACCCGCUUAACGGAUGGGCCGCGGGGGAUACUGCAGAGCUAGGAGGCGGGAGAGGCAAACGGUACUCAGUGGGUAGGGGUAAAAUCCUUUGAUCCACUGAAGACCACCA